rnacentral:rRNA from 1 species
UAUUCAACACUGAAAGACUUACCUUUGUGCUGGCUUUGACAGUUUUGUACUUUUGGGGCUUUAAAAUGGUUCAGUAGUUAAAGGAGGGAGCAAUCCCUUUUUUUCAUGCUACUGGGUCGGCCCCAAAUAAUCAUAUCAUCCUUAAAAAUUUUUUCUGAUAAAUUAACACAUGAUUUUAAUAAUCUGUUUAAAACAACUUUCAACAACGGAUCUCUUGGUUCUCGCAUCGAUGAAGAACGCAGCGAAAUGCGAUACGUAAUGUGAAUUGCAGAAUUCAGUGAAUCAUCGAAUCUUUGAACGCACAUUGCACUCCUUGGUAUUCCGAGGAGUAUGCCUGUUUCAGUAUCAUGAGCACUCUCACAACUAACCUUUGGGUGAAAUUGUGGAAUUGGAAUGCGCCGAUUGUAAUAAUCAGCCCUUCUAAAAUAUAUUUCAUGACUGUCACCUAACACAGCAGUUUGGCCUAAUAGUUUUGACAUUGAUUUGUCAAAUCUUUGGCUUACAUUUGCUUCAGGUUGUCAGUCUUGAUAAUACAGAAAACUCAUUCAAAUU